CUACGGGUCGCACCAGUAAAGAAUCUUCCGCAAUGGACGAAAGUCUGACGGAGCGACACCGCGUGGUGGAUGAAGCUUUUAGGAGUGUAAACACCUUUUGUGGGGGAAGAAAAUCUGACGGUACCCCAUGAAUAAGGACCGGCUAAUUACGUGCCAGCAGCCGCGGUAAUACGUAAGGUCCAAGCGUUAACCGGAAUUAUUGGGCGUAAAGCGUCCGCAGGCGGUUUGCCAAGUUGAUUAUGAAAUACCGACGCUCAACGUCGGUGCCGUAGUCAAAACUGGUAAACUAGAGGUAUGGAGAGGUGCGUGGAAUUAUGCAAGUAGGGGUAACAUCCGUAGAUAUGCAUAGGAACACCAAAAGCGAAGGCAGCGCACUGGCCAUUAUCUGACGCUCAGGGACGAAAGCGUGGGGAGCGAAAGGGAUUAGAUACCCUCGUAGUC
rnacentral:rRNA from 1 species